rnacentral:rRNA from 1 species
GAUGAACGCUGGCGGCGUGCCUAAUACAUGCGAGUCGAGCGAACGGACGAGAAGCUUGCUUUUCUGAUGUUAGCGGCGGACGGGUGAGUAACACGUGGAUAACCUACCUAUAAGACUGGGAUAACUUCGGGAAACCGGAGCUAAUACCGGAUAAUAUUUUGAACCGCAUGGUUCAAAGGUGAAAGACGGUCUUGCUGUCACUUAUAGAUGGAUCCGCGCUGCAUUAGCUAGUUGGUAAGGUAACGGCUUACCAAGGCAACGAUGCAUAGCCGACCUGAGAGGGUGAUCGGCCACACGGGAACUGAGACACGGUCCAGACUCCUACGGGAGGCAGCAGUAGGGAAUCUUCCGCAAUGGGCGAAAGCCUGACGGAGCAACGCCGCGUGAGUGAUGAAGGUCUUCGGAUCGUAAAACUCUGUUAUUAGGGAAGAACAUAUGUGUAAGUAACUGUGCACAUCUUGACGGUACCUAAUCAGAAAGCCACGGCUAACUACGUG